rnacentral:rRNA from 1 species
UAUGAUCCAGAGUACCACGGGACACGUGAAACCCUGUGGGAAGCAGGAGGGACCACCCUCCAAGGCUAAAUACUACCUAGUGACCGAUAGCGUAUAGUACCGUGAGGGAAAGGUGAAAAGAACCCCGGGAGGGGAGUGAAAUAGAACCUGAAACCCUGCACUUACAAGCUGUGGAAGCACAUUUCUUGUGUGACCGCGUACUUUUUGUAGAACGGGCCAACGAGUUACGUUAAGUAGCAAGGUUAAGCACUUAAGGUGCGGAGCCGUAGCGAAAGCGAGUUUUAACUGAGCGUUCAGUUACUUGACGUAGACCCGAAACCGGGCGACCUACCCAUGAGCAGGAUGAAGCGAAAGUAAAAUUUCGUGGAGGUCCGAACCCACGAGCGUUGAAAAGCUCGGGGAUGACUUGUGGGUAGCGGUGAAAUUCCAAUCGAGCCCGGAGAUAGCUGGUUCUCCCCGAAAUAGCUUUAGGGCUAGCCUCAAGGUGAGAGAUACGGAGGUAGAGCACUGAAUGUCCUAGGGGGUAUUGCACCUACCGAAGACUAUCAAACUCCGAAUGCCGUCAUCUUAUACUUGGGAGUCAGACUGUGGGUGAUAAGAUUCAUAGUCGAAAGGGCAACAGCCCAGAUCGUCAGCUAAGGUCCCUAAAUGUAAGUUAAGUGGUAAAGGAUGUGGGAUUGCACAGACAACCAGGAUGUUGGCUUAGAAGCAGCCACUCAUUCAAAGAGUGCGUAAUAGCUCACUGGUCGAGUGAUCCUGCGCCGAAGAUUUCCGGGGCUAAAACUUACUACCGAAGCUACGGCAUCAGUAAUGAUGGGUAGGGGAGCUUCCCAUACGGGUUGAAGCAUGACCGUAAGGACAUGUGGACAGUAUGGGAGUGAGAAUGUUGGCAUGAGUAGCGAGAUGUGGGUGAGAAUCCCACAGGCCGUAAACCCAAGGUUUCCAGGGGAAGGUUCGUCCGCCCUGGGUUAGUCGGGACCUAAGCUGAGGCCGAAAGGCGUAGGUGAUGGACAACAGGUUGAUAUUCCUGUACUACCGAUAACCGUUUGAGAGA